rnacentral:misc_RNA from 1 species
GAAAUGCGAUAAGUAAUGUGAAUUGCAGAAUUCAGUGAAUCAUCGAAUCUUUGAACGCACCUUGCGCUCCUUGGUAUUCCGAGGAGCAUGCCUGUUUGAGUGUCAUGAAACUCUCAACCCUUAUCUUUCUUAAUUGAUUGAUAAGUGGCUUGGACUUGAGCGUCUGCUGGUUUUAACUAAUCGGCUCGCUUGAAAUGUAUUAGCUGAGACCUCUCUGUAAUUGGUUCUACUCAACGUGAUAAGUAUUUCGUUGAGGACAGUCUUCCUUCACGGGAAGAUUGGCCGAGAUAAGGACGAGUUGACUCGCUUCUAAUUCGUAUGUAUCGCCUAGCGAUAUUACACUUUUUAUGAUCUGGCCUCAAAUCAGGUAGGACUACCCGCUGAACUUAA